GUGGAGCCAAUGCAGAAGAGAAGAGGACAGCUCUGAAAAUGGCAGAUGACUUCAUUCAGCAAAUGAAUUACCCCAAGAUGAAAACACAGGUGGAGAUUUUACCACAGGGCAGAGAGACUGUUAUCUUUAAACAGUUUUUCCAAAACUGGAAUUAACCCGCACUUCACUGCAUGAUCGGAGAAUAAACUGUACUCAACCAGCUGUCAUUUGCUUAAAUAAGAUCACAGAGAUACUACAUUAUAAACAAAUGUACAGCUUUAUUAAAUAAGAUCAGCUUUUAUUCAUUGAGGGUUACAGUAAAAAUGCAUAUGAGUGAGAGAGGCUUUACUAUUUGUCUGUUACCAUAUUUUUUAUGGCUUUUGAAAGGUGUUUAUAUUGAUUAAUACAAAUUUAUUUUAAAGAGCUUUUAAUUGUUUUCCUCUAUUUUGAUUAAGUAAAAUCUAUUUUGCAACCUUCCUAACCACAAACCCCUGAGUAGAUACCACUUCUACUUAAAAUCAGAAUAAUGCUACUAACCAUUUUUCAAGCCAAUGCACAAUUUCUCAGGCUGAUUUUUUUUUUACUCAUUUUGUGUAUGUAAUUGGAGCAUGGCAAUAAAAAAGCAUAUGCAAAA